GUUGCGACUGUGAAGCAACCGACCCCCAGAUCCCCCAGUGCCAGAGUGGGUAUCACCCUCCUCUGAUCCUGGCAUUGAGGCUGACCUGAGAAGCCGCUCAAGUGGGGGCCAUGGGGGUCGCGCAGCAGCCAGGAGCUGUCAUCGCAGGGUCGGACUCAAGGAUGCCGGUGGCGCACGCCUGGGCCGAAUAUCUCCUCCAUCUCGGAACUGAGCUGGAGCUGAGUAGCGACUGGUAGCACAGCAGCGGUCGCUCCUCACACCUCACUAACUCCAUUGAGAAGCCUCAUCUCCAGCCUCGGAGCCAGAGCCCAGCCUCCCCAUGAACCCCGCGUCGCCCUGCUUUCCUUCUGUGGCCCUGAUGACACCACAGCGAGUAUGAGUCAGCUCCGAGUCUGAGCCCGACCUCAGCGAGGAGCGACUCGCCUUGGCUGCUCAGCAACCUGGUGAGCCGCAUAUCUCUGAUGGCUCCUGCGCCAUCCGCUGCCCUGGCCAGUGCCUGUCUCCGCGCACGCUUGCCGGGGGCGCCUGCAUCACAGGCUGGCGUGGCCACAGAGGACUCCCAAGACCUGCGGCAGCAGCGGUCCUGGUGUGGAGUUGGUGGACAUGGAGACGCUGUGUGGGCCGCCACCGCCGGCCCCCGCAGCGCCUCGCUGGGCUCUGCACAGCCUGGCCCUGCCUUUUUCUCAGCAACCCCACCGAGACACCAUCACUCCGCUGUGGCCGCACCUGGCCGCGCUAACCCGCUCUGCACGCCUGCUCUGCCGCCUGCUCGGAGAGGAGGAGGACGACGAGGAGGAUGAGGAGGAUGCCGAGGACAGCGUUGCCCCACCCAGGAGCAGGGGUACGGGCCCCACUGCCCCGAUGGACGCCUCGCUGGUAUAUGACGCAGUGAAGUACACGCUGGUGGUGGAUGAGCACACACAACUGGAGCUGGUGAGCCUGCGGCGCUGUGCAGGCCUAGGCAACGACAGUGAAGACGACAGCAGUGGAGAGGCCAGUGAGGAAGAGGCAGGGGCUGCACUGCUAGGUGGCGAUCAGGUCCUGGAGGAUGCCUCUCCCGACAGUCCCGACCUCACUUUCUCCAAGAAGUUCCUCAAUGUGUUUGUCAAUAGCACAUCUCGAUCCUCCAGCACCGAGUCCUUUGGCCUUUUUUCCUGUCUGGUCAAUGGGGAGGAGAGAGAGCAGACCCACCGUGCUGUCUUCAGGUUCAUCCCUCGCCAUCCUGAUGAGCUAGAGCUAGAUGUGGAUGACCCCGUGUUGGUGGAGGCUGAAGAAGAUGACUUCUGGUUCCGAGGCUUCAACAUGCGCACUGGCGAGCGUGGCGUGUUUCCCGCCUUCUAUGCCCAUGCUGUGCCUGGCCCUGCCAAGGACCUGCUGGGGAGCAAGCGGAGCCCUUGCUGGGUAGAUCGCUUUGACGUGCAGUUCUUAGGCUCUGUGGAGGUGCCGUGUCACCAGGGGAACGGCAUCCUGUGUGCAGCCAUGCAGAAGAUUGCCACUGCCCGGAAACUGACUGUCCAUCUGCGUCCUCCUGCCUCCUGUGACCUGGAGAUCUCUCUGCGGGGGGUCAAGCUGAGUCUGAGUGGAGGAGGGCCCGAGUUCCAGCGCUGCAGCCACUUCUUCCAGAUGAAGAACAUUUCAUUCUGUGGCUGUCAUCCCCGUAACAGCUGCUAUUUUGGCUUUAUCACUAAACACCCGCUGCUGAGCCGCUUUGCCUGCCAUGUCUUUGUGUCCCAGGAGUCCAUGAGACCAGUGGCACAGAGUGUGGGCCGCGCCUUCCUGGAGUAUUACCAGGAGCACCUGGCAUUUGCCUGCCCCACAGAGGACAUCUAUCUGGAGUAGCUGCCACAGGCUCUGGG